UUGUGAAUCUAUGAUUGUUUACAAUUGUUAUAAAUGAACAUACGGAAAAAAGGUAUUAUUGUGAAUGUAAUUCGUUAGCGGAGAAAUUUGAUUGUAAACGUAUAUUAAAAACCUUUUGGAAUUCAUUGGUUGACAAACAGAGAUCUCAAAAUGGCCAUUAGAUUUUCAAAAUUCAAUGCAUAGGGGUAGUUUUCACCCUCUGUAGCGGUGCAUAUCGGUACUGAAAUCGA